rnacentral:rRNA from 1 species
GACGAACGCUGGCGGCGUGCUUAACACAUGCAAGUCGAACGGAAAGGCCCUGCUUUUGUGGGGUGCUCGAGUGGCGAACGGGUGAGUAACACGUGAGUAACCUGCCCUUGACUUUGGGAUAACUUCAGGAAACUGGGGCUAAUACCGGAUAGGAGCUCCUGCAGCAUGGUGGGGGUUGGAAAGUUUCGGCGGUUGGGGACUGACUCGCGGCUUAUCAGCUUGCUGGGGGGGCAGUGGCUUACCAAGGCUUUGACGGGUAGCCGGCCUGAGAGGGUGACCGGCCACAUUGGGACUGAGAUACGGCCCAGACUCCUACGGGAGGCAGCAGUGGGGAAUAUUGCACAAUGGGCGGAAGCCUGAUGCAGCAACGCCGCGUGCGGGAUGACGGCCUUCGGGUUGUAAACCGCUUUCGCCUGUGACGAAGCGUGAGUGACGGUAAUGGGUAAAGAAGCACCGGCUAACUACGUG